UAACUGAACAGUAUUCAUCAUGUUAAAAUAAGUGGUGAAAAAUAUUCACUCUACUAUGAAACUUUGACCAUAAUAAUCAACCCCUGUUUUAAUUUCAGUCAACGAAUGCGGAGUCUCCCCAGUUAUUCCAAAUGGUGUUGUUGUGCAAACGGAGCGUUUCUAUUUGAAAUACCAAUGUAAUUCUGAUUACACACGAGUGGGACCAGAGAUUGUGGUGUGUACCAACGAUGGCAGAUGGUCAGAACUUCCCUUCUGCCAAGAGGCUUUCUGUGUCGUGGAUCUUGCUCAGUAUUCUGGGAUUCGGAUUAGGCAAACUGGAAAAGAAUAUAUUAAGGAAGGAGAGACGAAGAAGGUGCACUGUUCCUCUUAUGAAUACGUAAUUUUUACUUGCACUCAGGGAAGACUAACCUACACCCCAUGUAAGUACAUACCAUCAUUUUACAGUCUCUCCCAAUGUUUUAGUUUCAGCUUUUUGUCAUCAGCUGUAUACGAACUGUUGUCUCAAGGAUCCAAGUUGAUUUAGAGCCAUUUAACUGUUAUAGCUUCAAAAAUAUUAAAUAAAAAAAACAAUCCAAACUCCAAAAAGAGAAUGAAAUUUGAAUAUGUAUUUAUUGAUUAUUAAAUGAUUGAUGUAUUUAGUGGAUAAACUUGCAAUUUUUUAAUUUAGUUUCAUUGAAUGAAAAGCAAAACAAAUUAACCAAAUACUCUACUGAUAAUGACUGCACUAAAUUGAAUGUGUUAUAGAACUCCAUUGCUGUCCAACUAUUAAAGAAACAUAAAUUAGCCACACUACGUGACAUGUUUCUUAAUUAGGAUAAGCAUGGUCCCUUUAUCUUGAGUCAGUCCCAUAUAACUUUGUAUAUUUCCUUGUAAUAAAAAUACAUGCUAACACAUUCAGUAAAGAUAUUGUAUUUUCAUACUUAAGCCAGAAAUGAUCCUGCAUUUCCCAUCAGACCCUCACCUUCAUCCCUGAUAUCUAAAUAGAGGCUGAAGUCUGUUCCCCUUUGAAUUCUGGAUGAAAAUGAAAUCUCAAGCCAUUUAUUUUUAUUCUCACAUUUUCCUGUUACUCAAAUGAAACUCAGAUUUGUUAUUAUGCGAGGUAAUUAUUCAUGCCAAGCAGAUAUUUAAAGAACCAAACUUCAGUGACAUAAUUUCUGUAAAUGAAACUAUGUAUUGAAACAUUCUUUCAUUUGCCACUGUUUUUUUUAGGUUGCCAGGAGUAUUAUCAUUUCUAUGGACGCUGCUAAGAAAAAACAACAGAGGAGCGACUGUAGGACUGUGGGGAUUGUGGACAAAAGCCAAGUUGGAGGCUACGGAAAUAUCUCCAUCAGAAAAAACUAAGCUCUAAAAUAUGUUGACAGAUUUGUGUUUUUUUAUUUGUUUUAAACCAGCUAUUUCCCCCCCUAAAAAACAAUUACAAAUACAAACAAACAUUGGUCAAGCUGAUUUUUUUAACAGUCUGCUUUUUCGUGAUGAUAGUAACUCUGAAUGUGCUACUGACAUGAACAUUACAAAAUAAAGUUUAUAUGGCCUACUAUAA